CGUUUGACUUUUAAAUCUGCAAAUGGAGUUAACCACUGAUGUGCUCCUCAGUUUGGAAGCGCCAGCCGAAGGAGCUGCAGGACCUGGGGAUGCUGGUGUGGUCCCUGAGCCAAGCAUGGAGCCUCAGCCUCUCCCGGGGAGGCCUGUCUGUCCUUGGCUGCAAGGAUCUGCUCAGCAUCCGCGGCAGUGUUCCUGGACCAGCUUGGCACCAACUGUUGCUGUUCCUUGCCAGCGAAUCUCACCCAGAGACACGGCUUUGAUCAGCGCGCUCGGAUGUCAGGCUUCAGCCUUGAUCAAGGCAAGGGGAGGGACGAGCGCGCGGACUCUUCUGGGACGGUCCAGAAAAAGCAGCUCCGAGAAAAACCGGCUUCAAAGGAACAGGCGGUGCUGCCGGAGGAAGGGUGAGGAGGAGGAAGGGGGGGCUCCAGGGGCUCCCCGUGGGCACGGUGAGGGGUGGGCCCGGCAGGGCCCGUGACAGCGGCGUCCGUGGGGCUGGAGCCGCUGCUGGGCGAGGGCAUGGUGCGGGCCUGGGGGCAGAGGCCACCCAGCCGACCUUCUCCUCCCGCAGCUCCUGCACACACUCAGGUGUGCGCACACACACACACACACACACACGUGUGUUCCCCUUCCCUUCGCGCCGCAGAUGGCAGGCAGAGGAGCCAGCCAGCCAGAUGUGUUUUUCAUAGCUCCCAAGCCGGGCAUAACUAAACAUUUACAUUUAUUACCAAUUAGAGGGGAAACAGACUGUAGUUUUAUGGACUGCGUGUGUCUGGGGGUAUUUCUCGUCAUGACCUUACCCCAGCAACCAACAGGCAGUUUCAGGGGGACGCCACCUUUGGGGACACCUGCCUGCGGCCAGGGGACCGCAGCGCUGCUGGCACAGCACGUGGGAUCCCCAGCUCUGUGUGCACGGUUCCCCUCUCGCUCCGCUGAUGUGCUGGGUGGAAAAUUGAAUUUUUUUUUUUUUUUUCCUUUCUCCCUCAACCUUGCUGGAGUGUGACAGAGGUGGGAGCUCUUGGCAGCUGGGAUGUUAAAUGUUUUUCCACAUGGUCUCUUGGUUAUUAAUGGAUUUUAGCACUUGACAAAGUAGAAAUUAGGAGAUAAAAGCUAUUAGAAACUAAUUUGGGUAAUCACCGCGUCUGUUCCCCCAGGAGCCUUCCUGAGAACACCGCUCCCAACGCUGCCACCUCUUGGGAGAGAGGGGACCCCCGUGGGACGGGGUCAGGAUGCGGCCCAGGAGCAGGUCAGCUCUGGGCACCUUUCCCGUCCCAGCAGCCGCCGGGGAUUUAUUGCGUUCCCCGUGGUUUAUACGCUGUAAUUUUGGGCUGUUCUGUCAGCGAAACAGCCAAACUAGUUUGGAAAAACAACGUGCGUGCGUUGCGGUGGCUCUGGUGCAGGAGCAGAGCCGAGAGCGCACGGAAGGUCCCCUGGUGCAGGGCCGGUGGCUUUCAAAGUGAGGGAUCAGGGAGGAAAACCACUAGAAAGGGGAGAAAAUAGACUGAAGGAGAGAAACGGAAAAUGUGCUGAAGCAGCUGAUGACAACCCAAACAGCAGGGGAAGGCUCCUGCCUGCCAAUUAACGAGGCUCUGGCGCUAAUUUGCCACCUCGGUUGCACUUCUGAGCUUGUCAGGAGACAGGGAAAUAACAGACAAGGCUGAAAAAGGAGCGGCAAGGCUCCGUCUCGCCUCUCGGCUACGCGGGUGCUGCUGCGCUGUGGGGUGGUGUGGGCACACCCCUGGGGGUGCUGGAGCACGGGGCGUGUUUGUGCGGGAGGGGAAACUGAGGCACGGCGCAGCUCCGAGCCCUGCAAACAGCAGAGCGGUGUUGGCUGAGCAGCUGGAGGCGAAAAGGCCUCAAGCUGCCCAAUUUGUGCCCUUGGGUCCAUAGGGACUGCAUCCCAUGGUCUGCUUUGCUGGCUGGGUGCAUACGUGGAGAUCCCACGUGUGCUCAGGGGCAUCUCUGGCAUGCACCCAGCCCACGUUAGGAGGAGGGUGGCGAGGGAAGGCAGCUCCUCGAGAUGCUGCCGACGCCUGAGGGCUCUCGUUUUUGUAUUCACGCAGCUUCAGGAUAUGUGACCAGUUAAGGAUGCAGAAAAGCACGGUAGGAGAUGCUCUGUCUAGAGGAGCCGGGCUGGGAGCAGAGGAUCGUGAGCCUGACACGUCCUGCGUGGUGAUGGGGAGGCAAAGCGACGUGCCACCUCCGAGGAAGACGUGUGGCAGCAGCAGAAAGGGUCUCUGUGGCUGGGAAGCCUCCCGGUGCUGGCCAGGAAGGGGCAGUCUGGUUUCUCCCUGCACUCCAAGCACGUUCCCUGGUGCCACCUGCUCGGGAAGGGGGUGCUGCCAUCACCGCAUCCCCCAGGUCACUGCUUUCCUGCUCAGCUGUGACCCGUCCCAUCCCUCCCUAGCACAAACAGGGCUGCUUCUCCCCCCCCUUUGGGGCAGAUGUCCCACCCUGACCCUCACCAAGACGAUGGCUUUGACUCCCUCUUUCCUCCCUGUGUGUUUCAUUGCCUGUCUUUUCUGUUUUUAGGACUGGGAGACACAGGCAAAGGAAGGCAGCUGUACGGAGAGCAGAAGUCCAGGUGACAGCUUGAGGGAUGCUGUAAGCACCAUAGGCUGCCUGAUGGAUUGAUAGAUCAGACAGGGAAUAUAGUUUAUCUACUCCGCUUUUAUUUUCCUCCUGCUUAUCUCUUUAUCUGUAUCGCCCAAGGAUGGAGGAGAGGGGGAGCAGCAGGAGAGAUGAAUCUGGGUUGCCGUGGCUCUUCCAGCAGUCGCGCAGAUGAGUUUUGGCAGCCAGGGAGGAUUUGGCAGAGUCGUGAAGAUCGCCCCGAGCAGUGGGGCUGCUGCUCUUCUUCAGCCCCAGGGUAGGAAGCAGGGUAGGAACGGGGCUUUCCCACUCCUGUCUUACCUCCGUGGGGCUGGAGGUGAUGUCUUUUGAAGACCCUGUGAUGUGGGAUGCAGUGAUGCCCUUGAUCCCUGUGCUGGGUUUAGCUGAUGGAGAGCUGAGGCGGCUCUGGGGGCAUCCAGGAUGGGCUGCACCUAGUUUCGUGCCCCUUCUAAGGGGCAAUGAACGAGGAGGGCAACGAGGACACCGCGGGUAUGGAGCAACCUCCCUACACAGCCCAGGUAAGGGAGCCACGGCACAGUGCUGACCAUCAUCUACACAACUGAGUGCCCGGAAAGGGCGGCUGAGGUCAGUUAGUGCCCGUCUCUUUCCACACCACAUCUCAGGAGCACCACGCGAGGCUCCUACGGGCCGCGUCUGGCGUGCCCGCGGAGGUGCUACGUGCCACAGUGAGCGCAUCCGACGGUCGUAAUGGGCCUCCUCGGAGCCCCUGGCACAGCCCUGGCAGCUAACGAAGCCCUUGGUGGGAGGCAGAUGGUUGGCCAGCAUGGGCUGAGCUCCCAACCUCUGCCCCGGGGGCACAGAGGGGGUCUCACACAGCACAGGGGUCUCCUCACCACCCCCCUGCAGCACGGCAAUGGAGAAGCCAGGGCCAGAGAUGACAGUGAGUGUUCUUUUUUUUUUUUUUCUUUUCCUCGGUUGUUUUUGGUUGCUCUUUUGCUCAAAAAAAGGCAUUUUUUUUAAAAAAUAUAUUAAACAGAUACAUUUUACUAAGAUGUCCCUUGGCUGGAGCCACUGACAAGAAAUAACCCUCCCCAAAUAAAUAGGCUUAAAAAACUCCCUCCCA
ensembl:lncRNA